AUUGAACGCUGGCGGCAGGCCUAACACAUGCAAGUCGAACGAGUGGCGGACGGGUGAGUAAUGUCUGGGAAACUGCCUGAUGGAGGGGGAUAACUACUGGAAACGGUAGCUAAUACCGCAUACCAUCGGAUGUGCCCAGAUGGGAUUAGCUAGUAGGUGGGGUAACGGCUCACCUAGGCGACGAUCCCUAGCUGGUCUGAGAGGAUGACGAGCCACACUGGAACUGAUACAAGGUCCAGACUCCUGCGGGAGGCAGCCGGGGGGAAUAUUGCACAAGGGGCGCAAGCCUGAUGCAGCCAGGCCUGGUGUAGGAAGAAGGGCGUCGGGUUGUAAAGGACUUUCAGCGGUGAGGCGUUACCCGCAGAAGAAGCACCGGCUAACUCCGUGCCAGCAGCCGCGGUAAUAC
rnacentral:rRNA from 1 species